rnacentral:rRNA from 1 species
GUAACACCCGAAGCCGGUCGAGUAACCUUUUAGGAGACAGCCGUCGAACGAGGGACAAUUGACUCGGGUGACAUCGUAAAAUGGUAGCAGAAACGGCAGGAGAGGCAAGGUCACCUCCUUUCUGAGG